GAUGAACGCUGGCUACAGGCUUAACACAUGCAAGUCGAGGGGAAACGACGGGGAAGCUUGCUUCCCCGGGCGUCGACCGGCGCACGGGUGAGUAACGCGUAUCUAACCUGCCUCUGACUGAGGGAUAACCCGUCGAAAGUCGGCCUAAUACCUCAUGGCAUCGUCUGCGGGCAUCCAACGACGAUUAAAGAUUUCAUCGGUCAGAGAUGGGGAUGCGUCUGAUUAGCUUGUUGGCGGGGUAACGGCCCACCAAGGCGACGAUCAGUAGGGGUUCUGAGAGGAAGGUCCCCCACAUUGGAACUGAGACACGGUCCACACUCCUACGGGAGGCAGCAGUGAGGAAUAUUGGUCAAUGGGCGAGAGCCUGAACCAGCCAAGUAGCGUGCAGGAUGACGGCCCUAUGGGUUGUAAACUGCUUUUAUGCGGGGAUAAAGUGAGGGACGUGUCCUUCAUUGCAGGUACCGCAUGAAUAAGGACCGGCUAAUUCCGUG
rnacentral:rRNA from 1 species